UAUAAUGAUGAAUAACCUAUAACAACUAAUGAAUUUCUUCGACUGAAAUACCUCCAUGUUAGAAAAUUUACUUUGACUAAUAGCUUUUUAACUCUGAUU